rnacentral:rRNA from 1 species
UACGUAGGUGGCAAGCGUUGUCCGGAUUUACUGGGCGUAAAGAGCGCGCAGGCGGUCGUUCAAGUCGCGUGUGAAAGCCCCCGGCUCAACCGGGGAGAGUCGUCGGGGACCGCACCGCUUGAGGGCGGUAGGGGCUGGUGGAAUGCCUGGUGUAGUGGUGAAAUGCGUAGAGAUCAGGCAGAACACCUGGGCGAAGGCGGCCAGCUGGGCCGUCCCUGACGCUGAGGCGCGAAGGCGUGGGGAGCGAACGGGG